GGGUUGUGAGGUUAAGCGACUAAGCGUACACGGUGGAUGCCCUGGCAGUCAGAGGCGAUGAAGGACGUGCUAAUCUGCGAUAAGCGUCGGUAAGGUGAUAUGAACCGUUAUAACCGGCGAUUUCCGAAUGGGGAAACCCAGUGUGAUUCGUCACACUAUCAUUAACUGAAUCCAUAGGUUAAUGAGGCGAACCGGGGGAACUGAAACAUCUAAGUACCCCGAGGAAAAGAAAUCAACCGAGAUUCCCCCAGUAGCGGCGAGCGAACGGGGAGCAGCCCAGAGCCUGAAUCAGUGUGUGUGUUAGUGGAAGCGUCUGGAAAGGCGCGCGAUACAGGGUGACAGCCCCGUACACAAAAAUGCACAUACUGUGAGCUCGAUGAGUAGGGCGGGACACGUGGUAUCCUGUCUGAAUAUGGGGGGACCAUCCUCCAAGGCUAAAUACUCCUGACUGACCGAUAGUGAACCAGUACCGUGAGGGAAAGGCGAAAAGAACCCCGGCGAGGGGAGUGAAAAAGAACCUGAAACCGUGUACGUACAAGCAGUGGGAGCACAGAGCAAUCUGUGUGACUGCGUACCUUUUGUAUAAUGGGUCAGCGACUUAUAUUCUGUAGCAAGGUUAACCGAAUAGGGGAGCCGAAGGGAAACCGAGUCUUAACUGGGCGUUAAGUUGCAGGGUAUAGACCCGAAACCCGGUGAUCUAGCCAUGGGCAGGUUGAAGGUUGGGUAACACUAACUGGAGGACCGAACCGACUAAUGUUGAAAAAUUAGCGGAUGACUUGUGGCUGGGGGUGAAAGGCCAAUCAAACCGGGAGAUAGCUGGUUCUCCCCGAAAGCUAUUUAGGUAGCGCCUCGUGAAUUCAUCUCCGGGGGUAGAGCACUGUUUCGGCAAGGGGGUCAUCCCGACUUACCAACCCGAUGCAAACUGCGAAUACCGGAGAAUGUUAUCACGGGAGACACACGGCGGGUGCUAACGUCCGUCGUGAAGAGGGAAACAACCCAGACCGCCAGCUAAGGUCCCAAAGUCAUGGUUAAGUGGGAAACGAUGUGGGAAGGCCCAGACAGCCAGGAUGUUGGCUUAGAAGCAGCCAUCAUUUAAAGAAAGCGUAAUAGCUCACUGGUCGAGUCGGCCUGCGCGGAAGAUGUAACGGGGCUAAACCAUGCACCGAAGCUGCGGCAGCGACGCUGAUGCGUUGUUGGGUAGGGGAGCGUUCUGUAAGCCUGUGAAGGUGUGCUGUGAGGCAUGCUGGAGGUAUCAGAAGUGCGAAUGCUGACAUAAGUAACGAUAAAGCGGGUGAAAAGCCCGCUCGCCGGAAGACCAAGGGUUCCUGUCCAACGUUAAUCGGGGCAGGGUGAGUCGACCCCUAAGGCGAGGCCGAAAGGCGUAGUCGAUGGGAAACAGGUUAAUAUUCCUGUACUUGGUGUUACUGCGAAGGGGGGACGGAGAAGGCUAUGUUGGCCGGGCGACGGUUGUCCCGGUUUAAGCGUGUAGGCUGGUUUUCCAGGCAAAUCCGGAAAAUCAAGGCUGAGGCGUGAUGACGAGGCACUACGGUGCUGAAGCAACAAAUGCCCUGCUUCCAGGAAAAGCCUCUAAGCAUCAGGUAACAUCAAAUCGUACCCCAAACCGACACAGGUGGUCAGGUAGAGAAUACCAAGGCGCUUGAGAGAACUCGGGUGAAGGAACUAGGCAAAAUGGUGCCGUAACUUCGGGAGAAGGCACGCUGAUAUGUAGGUGAAGUCCCUCGCGGAUGGAGCUGAAAUCAGUCGAAGAUACCAGCUGGCUGCAACUGUUUAUUAAAAACACAGCACUGUGCAAACACGAAAGUGGACGUAUACGGUGUGACGCCUGCCCGGUGCCGGAAGGUUAAUUGAUGGGGUCAGCGCAAGCGAAGCUCUUGAUCGAAGCCCCGGUAAACGGCGGCCGUAACUAUAACGGUCCUAAGGUAGCGAAAUUCCUUGUCGGGUAAGUUCCGACCUGCACGAAUGGCGUAAUGAUGGCCAGGCUGUCUCCACCCGAGACUCAGUGAAAUUGAACUCGCUGUGAAGAUGCAGUGUACCCGCGGCAAGACGGAAAGACCCCGUGAACCUUUACUAUAGCUUGACACUGAACAUUGAGCCUUGAUGUGUAGGAUAGGUGGGAGGCUUAGAAGUGUGGACGCCAGUCUGCAUGGAGCCGACCUUGAAAUACCACCCUUUAAUGUUUGAUGUUCUAACGUUGACCCGUGAUCCGGGUUGCGGACAGUGUCUGGUGGGUAGUUUGACUGGGGCGGUCUCCUCCUAAAGAGUAACGGAGGAGCACGAAGGUUGGCUAAUCCUGGUCGGACAUCAGGAGGUUAGUGCAAUGGCAUAAGCCAGCUUGACUGCGAGCGUGACGGCGCGAGCAGGUGCGAAAGCAGGUCAUAGUGAUCCGGUGGUUCUGAAUGGAAGGGCCAUCGCUCAACGGAUAAAAGGUACUCCGGGGAUAACAGGCUGAUACCGCCCAAGAGUUCAUAUCGACGGCGGUGUUUGGCACCUCGAUGUCGGCUCAUCACAUCCUGGGGCUGAAGUAGGUCCCAAGGGUAUGGCUGUUCGCCAUUUAAAGUGGUACGCGAGCUGGGUUUAGAACGUCGUGAGACAGUUCGGUCCCUAUCUGCCGUGGGCGCUGGAGAACUGAGGGGGGCUGCUCCUAGUACGAGAGGACCGGAGUGGACGCAUCACUGGUGUUCGGGUUGUCAUGCCAAUGGCACUGCCCGGUAGCUAAAUGCGGAAGAGAUAAGUGCUGAAAGCAUCUAAGCACGAAACUUGCCCCGAGAUGAGUUCUCCCUGACUCCUUGAGAGUCCUGAAGGAACGUUGAAGACGACGACGUUGAUAGGCCGGGUGUGUAAGCGCAGCGAUGCGUUGAGCUAACCGGUACUAAUGAACCGUGAGGCUUAACCUUACAACGCCGAAGGUGUUU
rnacentral:rRNA from 1 species